AAGAGAUCGGGAUAACACCUGGAAACAGAUGCUAAUACCGGAUAACAACAGAUGAUGCCUAUCAACUGUUUAAAAGAUGGUUCUGCUAUCACUCUUGGAUGGGCCUGCGGUGCAUUAGCUAGUUGGUAGGGUAACGGCCUACCAAGGCGAUGAUGCAUAGCCGAGUUGAGAGACUGAUCGGCCACAUUGGGACUGAGACACGGCCCAAACUCCUACGGGAGGCAGCAGCG
rnacentral:rRNA from 1 species